rnacentral:rRNA from 1 species
ACGUAGGAGGCAAGCGUUAUCCGGAGUUACUGGGCGUAAAGGGCGUGCAGGCGGUUGGCUAAGUUCGUUGUGAAAGCGCCCAGGCUUAACCGGGCGCGGACAAUGAAGACUGGUCAGCUAGAGGGCGGUAGAGGGGUGUGGAAUUCCGGGUGUAGUGGUGAAAUGCGUAGAGAUGUGGAGGAACACCGAUGGCGAAGGCAGUCCGCUGGGCCUGUCCUGACGCUCAGGCUCGAAAGCGUGGGGAGCAAACAG